AUGAUUACUAUCACUAGAUAUGAAAUCCAUAGGCUGCCCCAUAUAUAUAUCUUCUUUGAGAUAUCUAUUUAGGAAGACAGUUUUUGAAAGAAACAUACGACAGUACUAUGCAUGCAAUGUUAAAAUUUUAUUCAGCAGAACUAUUAGAUUAAAUAAUUUAAUCUAUUUUUCAUACAUAAGAUCUAAUCUAAACUACCAUGCCA
rnacentral:lncRNA from 1 species